GACGAACGUUGGCGGCGUGCCUAAUACAUGCAAGUAGAACGCUGAAGAGAGGAGCUUGCUCUUCUUGGAUGAGUUGCGAACGGGUGAGUAACGCGUAGGUAACCUGCCUUGUAGCGGGGGAUAACUAUUGGAAACGAUAGCUAAUACCGCAUAACAAUGGAUGACCCAUGUCAUUUAUUUGAGAGGGGCAAAUGCUCCACUACAAGAUGGACCUGCGUUGUAUUAGCUAGUAGGUGAGGUAACGGCUCACCUAGGCGACGAUACAUAGCCGACCUGAGAGGGUGAUCGGCCACACUGGGACUGAGACACGGCCCAGACUCCUACGGGAGGCAGCAGUAGGGAAUCUUCGGCAAUGGGGGCAACCCUGACCGAGCAACGCCGCGUGAGUGAAGAAGGUUUUCGGAUCGUAAAGCUCUGUUGUAAGUCAAGAACGAGUGUGAGAGUGGAAAGUUCACACUGUGACGGUAGCUUACCAGAAAGGGACGGCUAACUACGUGCCAGCAGCCGCGGUAAUACGUAGGUCCCGAGCGUUGUCCGGAUUUAUUGGGCGUAAAGCGAGCGCAGGCGGUUUGAUAAGUCUGAAGUUAAAGGCUGUGGCUCAACCAUAGUUCGCUUUGGAAACUGUCAAACUUGAGUGCAGAAGGGGAGAGUGGAAUUCCAUGUGUAGCGGUGAAAUGCGUAGAUAUAUGGAGGAACACCGGUGGCGAAAGCGGCUCUCUGGUCUGUAACUGACGCUGAGGCUCGAAAGCGUGGGGAGCGAACAGGAUUAGAUACCCUGGUAGUCCACGCCGUAAACGAUGAGUGCUAGGUGUUGGAUCCUUUCCGGGAUUCAGUGCCGCAGCUAACGCAUUAAGCACUCCGCCUGGGGAGUACGACCGCAAGGUUGAAACUCAAAGGAAUUGACGGGGGCCCGCACAAGCGGUGGAGCAUGUGGUUUAAUUCGAAGCAACGCGAAGAACCUUACCAGGUCUUGACAUCCCGAUGCUAUUUCUAGAGAUAGAAAGUUACUUCGGUACAUCGGUGACAGGUGGUGCAUGGUUGUCGUCAGCUCGUGUCGUGAGAUGUUGGGUUAAGUCCCGCAACGAGCGCAACCCCUAUUGUUAGUUGCCAUCAUUCAGUUGGGCACUCUAGCGAGACUGCCGGUAAUAAACCGGAGGAAGGUGGGGAUGACGUCAAAUCAUCAUGCCCCUUAUGACCUGGGCUACACACGUGCUACAAUGGUUGGUACAACGAGUUGCGAGUCGGUGACGGCAAGCUAAUCUCUUAAAGCCAAUCUCAGUUCGGAUUGUAGGCUGCAACUCGCCUACAUGAAGUCGGAAUCGCUAGUAAUCGCGGAUCAGCACGCCGCGGUGAAUACGUUCCCGGGCCU
rnacentral:rRNA from 1 species